CCCAGCACCACCGGCCUUUGACCCUGGACAUCUGACCCCAACCAGCUGGCACCAAGGCUACUCCAACCUCCAGUGUGCUAGGAUUCUAGAACAAGCCCAGCUCCAACUGUCACUCUAAGUGUGGCCUGGUCUGGCCUCCCUGAGCCUGUUUCCUCGUCUGGAAAGGGGGAUGGUAGGAGUCUCUCAGGCAGAUGACUACCCAGUGCUUGUCAGGUGACUCCCGAUGGACUGGAGCCCCAGUCCUAGUCGGCCAACAGAAUACUCAAGACCGAGAAGAACCGGACAUCAUCACAGUCAGGGCCACCAGGCCCCAACUCUGAGCCUCGUACCACUGGCAGGUCACAGCCCCAUCCUCAGCAGCGGGGUCACAGCUGGGAUGCACUGAACCAGCUCCUCCCACCUGAUGGGAAGGGGAACAUUGUAAGCUGAUUCCUGGGGUCCCCUGAAGCCCAAGAGAGAGGGGACAACCCCACCCCAGCUCCCUUGUAUCUCUCCCCCAGCACCUAUUUUCCUGUUGGAGGGACAAUAUUCAUUAAUUGUAAAUAGUAAAUAGUAGAUAUGAAUAGUCUAUUAAAAUCCUGUUUCCUUUACAGCCUGGGAGUUGUGAUGUGGUUCUUUCACUUUCUGUGCUCAUGUAAGUGAGACACAGAAUCUCACAUUCUCCAUGAAUCAAGAAAUUUUCCAGGUCAUCAGCUUAUUGAUAUGGGAGAAGGGAGAAGGGACAGCCCCUCCCUGGCUGGUGAGGACACACCCAAGUUCCCCUCACUCAGGGGACAAGUUCAUCUCAGUAUCAUUCACCUGCUCCAGGAGCACAGGCAGCCCCCCAGAUUUCCCCUAAUUGAGAGGUUGGAAGGACUUUCACAGGCAGAG
rnacentral:lncRNA from 1 species